GACGAACGCUGGCGGCGUGCUUAUCACAUGCAAGUCGAACGGAAAGGCCCUGCUUUUGUGGGGUGCUCGAGUGGCGAACGGGUGAGUAACACGUGAGUAACCUGCCCUUGACUUUGGGAUAACUUCAGGAAACUGGGGCUAAUACCGGAUAGGAGCUCCUGCUGCAUGGUGGGGGUUGGAAAGUUUCGGCGGUUGGGGAUGGACUCGCGGCUUAUCAGCUUGUUGGUGGGGUAGUGGCUUACCAAGGCUUUGACGGGUAGCCGGCCUGAGAGGGUGACCGGCCACAUUGGGACUGAGAUACGGCCCAGACUCCAACGGGAGGCAGCAGUGGGGAAUAUUGCGCAAUGGGCGGAAGCCUGAUGCAGCAACGCCGCGUGCGGGAUGACGGCCUUCGGGUUGUAAACCGCUUUCGCCUGUGACGAAGCGUGAGUGACGGUAAUGGGUAAAGAAGCACCGGCUAACUACGUG
rnacentral:rRNA from 1 species